rnacentral:rRNA from 1 species
AUGCAACACCAGAUUCUGGCUGAAAGGGAGCAAUUUCGUCAUUUGGAAAAUGACAUUUGGAAGCUCCAGACAACUAUGCCCAAGAUGCUUGACCUUAUUGAGCGCGUUGAAUGGCAGAGCCAUAAGAAACCAGCAGCCGAGCUUCUCCCGCACAUCAAAGAUGUAGUUUAUGAUGCUGAGGACUUUCUUGAUGAGUUCAAAUAUUAUGCACUCAAGCUGAAGCUUGAGGAGAGCAAGAAUUCAGGUGAAGAACACAUGCAUGCUGCCUUUCAGGAGUUUUUCAUAAGUGUCAAUAAUUGUGACCACUUCAACAAAGUGAAGGAAAUCCAGGGUAACCUAGAUCACGUCUAUCACCAGUCGAAGGAUUUGAGAUUGCAUAAAGCACCAUUGAAGUUUGACAAAUCAACCAGGCCAGACACAAGUACUUUUUCUGAGGUGCCACAAGUAUUUGGUCGUGAACAAGAACUGAAGCACUUGGUGAAAAUGCUAGGAGUACACCCUAGCAAGAGAGGGAGGACUGACGGUGCAGCAAGCUCAAAUGAGUUGUGUGUGCUUCCCAUAUUUGGUAUGGGGGGUGUUGGAAAAACAACUAUUGCACAACAAAUCUGCAAUGAUGCAAAAGUGAAGGAGCACUUUGACUGCAUUAUGUGGGCAUGUGUUUCUGAUGAUUUUAACAUAAAGAGGUUAACUAAAGAGAUUCUGGAGCAAAUGGAACAAGAUACAACAUCUGAUAAUCUGAAUUAUCUUAUGAGAAAACUGGCUAGUUGUGUGGAAUCGAAAAAGUUCUUACUUAUCCUUGAUGACAUGUGGGGUGAUACCAUGAGAGAUGGUGGGAUGGAGUGGGAGAAAUUUUGCGUACCUUUGAGAAAGGCUCUUCAAGGAAGUAUGAUUUUGGUCACCACUAGAUUUAUAGAGGUUGCUAAUCUAGUUAGCACUGGCAUGAAGAGCUACGAGUUGGAGGGUUUACAAGAUGUUGUUUUUUGGGAGUUCUUCAAAUUAUGUGCAUUUGGAUCCAAUAGGACCUGCAAUGACCUAGAGUUGGAGCGCAUUGGUGAAAAAAUGCUUCCAAAGUUGAAGGGUUCUCCUUUGGCUGCAAAAACUCUUGGACGCUUGUUGCAAAGGGACCUAAGUAGAGCACAU